AGUGAACGCUGGCGGUAGGCCUAACACAUGCAAGUCGAACGGCAGCACAGUAAGAGCUUGCUCUUACGGGUGGCGAGUGGCGGACGGGUGAGGAAUACAUCGGAAUCUACUUUUUCGUGGGGGAUAACGUAGGGAAACUUACGCUAAUACCGCAUACGACCUACGGGUGAAAGCAGGGGAUCUUCGGACCUUGCGCGAUUGAAUGAGCCGAUGUCGGAUUAGCUAGUUGGCGGGGUAAAGGCCCACCAAGGCGACGAUCCGUAGCUGGUCUGAGAGGAUGAUCAGCCACACUGGAACUGAGACACGGUCCAGGCUCCUACGGGAGGCAGCAGUCGGGAAUAUUGGACAAUGGGCGCAAGCCUGAUCCAGCCAUACCGUGUGGGUGAAGAAGGCCUUCGGGUUGUAAAGCCCUUUUGUUGGGAAAGAAAAGCAGCAGGUUAAUACCCCGCUGUUCUGACGGUACCCAAAGAAUAAGCACCGGCUAACUUCGUG
rnacentral:rRNA from 1 species